rnacentral:lncRNA from 1 species
UUAGCUAUCCAGAUGACUUUAUAAGACCCUCCAACCAGAAACUAGAAAUACCACAGAAGACAUACAACAAAUGAUAGGUUUGUGUAUGAAUUAUGGAAUGGAAUGGAAUGGAAAUAGAGUUUGUAUUGAUGAGAAUAAGCAAAUACAAUAUGAAAACAGAAUGAAGAAAACAAAGUAACAAACUAGCAGAGAGAUUCUACUAGCCCCAAAGCACUAAGUGCCCCAAAUCACUAUGAAAGUGAUCCACACAAACUAACAAAAUACGUGAAUGAAUAUUCUCUUUCUACUAAGCACUAUAUAUAUAACCAAUUCCUUAUGCAGCACAUGCACUCCUCAUGCAUUCUUUGCCACCUCAUCGUUCCUUUCCCUCUCCUACUAUAACAAAAAUUAUUUUUUAAGUUCAUUGAAUAACUGAUGCAUAGGUCAGACACAUCAGUUACUCAAGGAAUCUAAAAAGUAAUUUUUUUCUUAUAAUAGGGACAUGAGGGAGUAGAUUAUAAAACCUAGUUAGAACAACAAUCACAUCUGAACAUCAAUAACCAACAAAGUAACAAACCACAGCAAUCCAAAUCCAUUCAUCUCUCAAUAUAAACCUAUCUACACCGACAAAUUCUUAUUGUGCAGAACCUUGCCCAGUCUAUACAAACAUUUCACCUAAAUUAUAGAAUUCCCUUGAAAUAUACCUUUCAAUGUUAUACCUAUAACUGAAGCAAUUCCACCUAAACACCAUGAUCCAAACAAAAAUUAGGGUAAAUAAAAAUUGGGGAUGGAGGAUGGUAAAUUAAUUCUAGGGUAAUAAGCAUUUCCCAUUAUUUCCCACAACGAAUCUCAAAAUCAACAAUGACCCAUAAAUCAAAAAUUAAAAAUUUACACAAACAAAUAAUAAAAAUCAAGCCUUGGUCAAAUCCCACCAUAAAAAAAAUCUAAAACAAAAAAUCCCAAAAUCAAAAAAUAUAACAAAUCAAGCCUUGCGAUUCAACGUGAAGCUGGAAUUAUGAAAUUCGAUUUCCACGCGAAAUGAAAAGAAGAAGAAAGAUAGAAAUUUACCUGAGAUCUGAUUUCCCCAAUUUAAUCAGGUGAAGAAAAAAUUGGUGGCAAAAUCGUGUAAUUGCGCGUAAAUUAUUUGCCCCUUUCCAAAACGGCGGCGUUGAAUAAUGAAAGAGAGAGAGAGAGAGAGAGAGAGAGAGAGAGAGAGAGAGAGAGAGAGAGAGAGAGAGUAGAGAUAGAGUGAGUCUAUAACUGCGUUUUCAUUUUUCGUUUUGUAGAAAAAAUAGAAUCGAUUAUAGAGAGAAUCGAUUUUAGAUCGUCGCUGUUAUACACCGCCAAACAACCCUCUUUCGCAAUCAAAGUGUAACCUGACUUUUUAUCUAGUUGACUAUUUUAACCCUU